rnacentral:rRNA from 1 species
GACGGAGGGUGCAAGCGUUAAUCGGAAUUACUGGGCGUAAAGGGCUCGUAGGCGGCCAACUAAGUCAGACGUGAAAUCCCUCGGCUUAACCGGGGAACUGCGUCUGAUACUGGAUGGCUUGAGUUUGGGAGAGGGAUGCGGAAUUCCAGGUGUAGCGGUGAAAUGCGUAGAUAUCUGGAGGAACACCGGUGGCGAAGGCGGCAUCCUGGACCAACACUGACGCUGAGUGAGCGAA